rnacentral:snoRNA from 1 species
AUGUUCUUGUGUCAGUUUGCUGAGAAUGAUGUUUGAGUUUUCAUACUUGUGUGAGAUGUGCCUUCCUCAAACCUUGUUAUGAUGACACAUUACCUGUCUAACA